rnacentral:rRNA from 1 species
GAUGAACGCUGGCGGCGCGCCUAAUACAUGCAAGUCGAGCGAAUGGAUUAAGAGCUUGCUCUUAUGAAGUUAGCGGCGGACGGGUGAGUAACACGUGGGUAACCUGCCCAUAAGACUGGGAUAACUCCGGGAAACCGGGGCUAAUACCGGAUAACAUUUUGAACCGCAUGGUUCGAAAUUGAAAGGCGGCUUCGGCUGUCACUUAUGGAUGGACCCGCGUCGCAUUAGCUAGUUGGUGAGGUAACGGCUCACCAAGGCAACGAUGCGUAGCCGACCUGGGAGGGGGAUCGGCCACACUGGGACUGAGACACGGCCCAGACUCCUACGGGAGGCAGCAGUAGGAAAUCUUCCGCAAUGGACGAAAGCCUGACGGAGCAACGCCGCGUGGGUGAUGAAGGCUUUCGGGUCGUAAAACUCUGUUGUUAGGGAAGAACAAGUGCUAGUUGAAUAAGCUGGCACCUUGACGGUACCUAACCAGAAAGCCACGGCUAACUACGUGCCAGCCGCCGCGGUAA